AUACGGAGGGUGCAAGCGUUACUCGGAAUCACUGGGCGUAAAGCGCGCGCAGGCGGGCUGAUAAGUUGGAUGUGAAAGCCUACGGCUCAACCGUAGAACUGCAUCCAAAACUGUCAGGCUAGAGUGUGGGAGAGGAAGAUGGAAUUAGUUGUGUAGGGGUAAAAUCCGUAGAGAUAACUAGGAAUACCAAAAGCGAAGGCAAUCUUCUGGAACACUACUGACGCUGAGGCGCGAAGGCGUGCGGAGCAAACAGGAUUAGAUACCCGGGUAGUCC
rnacentral:rRNA from 1 species